rnacentral:rRNA from 1 species
CGAACGCGGUUUUCCCGCAAGGGCGAACUGAGUGGCAAACGGGUGAGUAACACGUGGGUGACCUGCCUUCGAGUGGGGGAUAACGUUCCGAAAGGGACGCUAAUACCGCAUAACAUCCUGUCUUUUAAGAGAUGGACAUCAAAGCCUGGGACCGCAAGGCCAGGCGCUUGAAGAGGGGCCCGCGUCUGAUUAGCUAGUUGGUGGGGUAAUGGCUCACCAAGGCAACGAUCAGUAUCCGGCCUGAGAGGGCGGACGGACACACUGGGACUGAGACACGGCCCAGACUCCUACGGGAGGCAGCAGUGGGGAAUUGUUCGCAAUGGGCGCAAGCCUGACGACGCAACGCCGCGUGGAGGAUGAAGAUUUUCGGAUCGUAAACUCCUUUCGAUCGAGACGAAUGGCUUUCGGGUAAAUAGCCUGGAAGAAUGACGGUACCGAGAGAAGAAGCCCCGGCUAACUCCGUGCCAGCAGCCGCGGUAAUACGGGGGGGGCAAGCGUUGUUCGGAAUUACUGGGCGUAAAGGGCUCGUAGGUGGCCAACUAAGUCAAACGUGAAAUCCCUCGGCUUAACCGGGGAACUGCGUUUGAUACUGGAUGGCUUGAGUUUGGGAGAGGGAUGCGGAAUUCCAGGUGUAGCGGUGAAAUGCGUAGAUAUCUGGAGGAACACCGGUGGCGAAGGCGGCAUCCUGGACCAAUACUGA